rnacentral:rRNA from 1 species
GACAGAGGGGGCAAGCGUUGCUCGGAAUUACUGGGCGUAAAGGGCGCGUAGGCGGGAUGGCAAGUCGGUCGUGAAAUCCCUCGGCUCAACCGAGGAGCGUCGAUCGAAACUGCCGUUCUUGAGGAUUGCAGAGGAGACUGGAAUUCCCGGUGUAGCGGUGAAAUGUGUAGAGAUCGGGAGGAACACCGGUGGCGAAGGCGGUUGCCUGGGGCUUUGCUGACGCUGAUGCGCGAAAGCGUGGGGAGCGAUCCGG